AGCGGCGCUCUCGCUGAUCGCAUUCGGUUGGCUAGAUGGUUUGAUGCCGUCGACAGCGUAAUACCAUUGGAAUUUAUCUUUUUCAUCUGCAGAGCUGCCAGAUUUAAGGUGCAUCCCACACCUUUAAAUACUGUGCCUGCAGUUUUUUAACCUUGUCUCGGCACUGCUCGGUGGUUCUUUGGUAUCCCCGAUGAAGAAGAUAAUCCCGUAUUUUGCAAAACAUAUCGGAGUUUUUAUGCGUUUUGUCCACCUGUUGUUGUAUGCUCUAAUCUGCCCAAAUUUCCAACAAACAUUGCACCUUUCCCUUUCCCCGCCAUGUUGGUUUUGGAACGUCGCAAAAACGUGACAUCACGCGUACUGUUCCGUUGUGUUUUGUGUGGUACUGUAAAUUGUGUGUUUUGAUAGGUAUGUCCUGUCUGUGUCCAGUGUAUUGUUUUGCUGUAAUUAGCAGUGGUUUUACUUUUUAAGGGUGUGUGAAACGAAAUCUGAAAUUCUACGCUCUGUUUUGUCUCUGCUCUCAGGAAUUAGUUGAAAGUAUUUGAAAGAUAACCGUUAAGCAUCGUCCAAUCAUGAUAAAAUUGCGCCUUGGCCAAAGAAUUUGAUUGGCUGAGCUCUCAUUGGCGCGGAGCGUUUGCGUUUCAGCACGUCGGCAGUGGACAAGUGGCGAACGAUUAUUGCAUUGACUGAGCAGAACUACAAACUGGUGGGAAUGUGAAGUAAUAUAAAUGUGUCUGGGCAAAUUGGUAAGUUGAAUUAAAUCGUUUGAAGAAGUGUGUGGUUUUAAACACGAGUAGCAUGUACCCUGUUUGUGGCGCAUGAAUAUAUCUUCGCAGCGCAUGUAAAAUUUGCAAGCACGAUGUGAAACAGCAUUUAGGUUGUUAAGUUAAAGGGACUCUUUUGUGCAUUGCAGGGGACAAUUUGGGGUCUCAUAAUAUCGGUGGAUUCACAGAAAAUUUCAGUUUUUCUGAAUAUUUCUGCAGGUAUUGCCGGAUAACACGAACAGAUUUUCAAACAGAUCCAAAUGCAUGUGGACCUCAGCGCACUCCUGAAAACUACAAAUCUGCAGUAGACAUUUUACAGUCUGAAGAACAACAAAACGUUGAAGAAAUGGGUGAUUCAGAGCUAAACACUUUAAACAUCAGCAAUGCCAUUGAUGCUGUAUUACCUGAACUCUCAAUCGCAACUAAAAAAUCUCUUGAGGACACCUUAAAGUCACUUGGAGUGGAGUCCCCAGAAGAUUCAAGCCAGGAAAUUUAUUUCUGUUCUAAAGGAGACCAGUAAGUCCAAGUAUUUGUUUCCAUUACAAAAAAGGGAUGGUUUAAUAUUAAAAUGAAAAUUCUGAUU
ensembl:lncRNA